rnacentral:rRNA from 1 species
GUGGGGAAUUUUGGACAAUGGGCGCAAGCCUGAUCCAGCAAUGCCGCGUGCAGGAAGAAGGCCUUCGGGUUGUAAACUGCUUUUGUACGGAACGAAACGGUCCGGGUUAAUACCCUGGGCUAAUGACGGUACCGUAAGAAUAAGCACCGGCUAACUACGUGCCAGCAGCCGCGGUAAUACGUAGGGUGCAAGCGUUAAUCGGAAUUACUGGGCGUAAAGCGUGCGCAGGCGGUUUUGUAAGACAGGCGUGAAAUCCCCGGGCUCAACCUGGGAAUUGCGCUUGUGACUGCAUUGCUGGAGUGCGGCAGAGGGGGAUGGAAUUCCGCGUGUAGCAGUGAAAUGCGUGGAUAUGCGGAGGAACACCGAUGGCGAAGGCAAUCCCCUGGGCCUGCACUGACGCUCAUGCACGAAAGCGUGGGGAGCAAACAGGAUUAGAAACCCGAGUAGUCC